rnacentral:lncRNA from 1 species
CCCACAUCCUGGAAUGAGAAAUCUUUUUGUGGCAUUGUUGAAGGCAUUUGGGUGUAAUUAAAGAUGUUUUACUGUAAACACGUAUUCAUGUAGCAUCACAGGUAAGAUAUAAUAAUACAGAUAUUUUAGUAAAAGUAAUUAGACAUGGAUUGGAUAAUGUAAAACGUUUUGAUGUUGCUUCUUAGACUUUGAUAUUAAUUUUAUUCUCCACCGCUUUGUCUAAAAUCAAUGAUUAAACGUGUUUAGACAUAACUACAUGUGGAUCAAAAUGGAUAUUUGUAAAUAAAACGUUCAAUAGAUACUCUUCAGAUGGUGUAUAUUACGAAUUUGAUGAGUGGGCGAAAAAUAAGGAUGACGAUAAUUCACAUAUUUGAAAACGUAUGAGGAAAAAAAAGUCGGGGAUUUGUGAAUUAUCCGAUUCCACAAAGUUUUGCUUUCACAUCAUAUUCCCAUGAAAUCAUAACCUGAAACAUAUUUAUAGAACAUUUUAUUAAAAAAAUGUCUAGAUUUCCGAAAGUUAUGAGGAAACAUCGCAGUUCCUCAACACCCUUCCGAAACCUUUUCCAGAACAAAUUUCGAUAUAACCCUAAUCUGCACCAUGUAAAUUGUAUCUCUGGGAAAUUUCUUUAAGAAAUAUGCAUUUUCAGAAAGUUAUAGAGAAGCAAAUUUGGUGGAGUAUUUGUAGUUAUACCAGUGAAUCAGUAUUUUGUGCAUUUUUACUAAACUACGAAAGAAUUUUUAGUUAAUGCUGACAUUAUUACUAGGAAACAUGGGUGCUUUUUACGUGCCACUGGCACAGGAGCCAGGGGAGGCUGGCAACAGCCACGGUCAGUUGGUGCUUUUUACGUGCCACCGGCACAGGAGCCAGGGGAGGCUGGCAACGGCCACGAUCAGUUGGUGCUUUUUACGUGCCACCGGCACAGGAGUCAAGGGAGGCUGGUAACGGCCACAAUCAGUUGAUACUUUUUACGUACCACCGGCACAGGAGCCAGGGGAGGCUGGCAACGGCCACGAUCAGUUGGUGCUUUUUACGUGCCACCGGCACAGGAGCCAGGGGAGGCUGGCAACGCCACGAUCAGUUGGUGCUUUUUACGUGCCACCGGCACAGGAGCCAGGGGAGGCUGGCAACGGCCACGAUCAGUUGGUGCUUUUUACGUGCCACCGGCACAGGAGCCAGGGGAGGCUGGAAACGGCCACAAUCAGUUGGUGCGUUUUAUGUGCCACCAGCACGGAAGCCUGUCAAGGUGGCGCUGGCAUUAAAUACAACACACAAAAAAAAGAAAAGAAAGCAAGGCAAGCUUCUUAACCAUGUGCCAUAUAUCUUUUAUCUUCCACCCGCUUCAUGACUACGGCCAUACUGGAACACUGCCGAGAUGAAUUUUUUAGUCAAGCAAAUCAGCUCUCGAACUUUUUUUUGUUUCUUAAGCCUCAUAUUUAUUCUUUUUCUUUUUCUUUUCUUUUAUUUGUUUCAGUCAUUUGACUGUGGCCAUGUUGGAGCACCGCCUUUAGUCGAGCAAAUCGACCCCGGGACUUAUUAUUUGUAAGCCCAGUACUUAUUCUAUCGGCCACUUUUUGCCGAACCGCUAAGUUGGUUUCUUUUGCUGAAGUGCUAAUCCACAAGGACAUAAACACACCAACACCGGUUGGCAAAUGAUGGUGCAGAACAAACGGCACACACAUACACACACACACACACACGUGACUAGCUUCUUAUUACUUUUAUUGCCCACAAGGAGCUAAACAUAGGAGGGACAAACAAGGACAGACAAAGUUGACCUCAGCGGAAUUUGAACUCGGAACGUAACGGCAGACGAAAUACCUAUUUCUUUAUAACCCACAAGGGGCUAAACACAGAGGAGACAGACAAACGGAUUAAGUCGAUUACAUCGACCCCAGUGUGUAACUGGUACUUUAUUUAUCGACCCCGAAAGGAUGAAAGGCAAAGUUGACCUCAGCGGAAUUUGAACUCAGAACGUAACGGCAGACGAAAUACCUAUUUCUUUAUAACCCACAAGGGGCUAAACACAGAGGAGACAAACAAGGACAGACAAACGGAUUAAGUCGAUUACAUCGACCCCAGUGUUUAACUGGUACUUAAUCUAUUGGCCCUGAAAGGAUAAGUCGACCUCAGCGGAAUUUGAACUCGGAACGUAACGGCAGACGAAAUACCUAUUUCUUUAUAACCCACAAGGGGCUAAACACAGAGGAGACAGACAAACGGAUUAAGUCGAUUACAUCGACCCCAGUGUGUAACUGGUACUUUAUUUAUCGACCCCGAAAGGAUGAAAGGCAAAGUUGACCUCAGCGGAAUUUGAACUCAGAACGUAACAGUAGACGAAAUACCGCUUAGCAUUUCGCCCGGCGUGCUAACGUUUCUACCAGCUUGCCUCCAAGUGACUAGCUUCCUUCAACUUCCAUCUACCAAAUUCACUCACAAGUCUUUGGUUGGCCUAAAAUGACACACAUUGGAACUGAACCUGGGACCAUAUGGUUGGAAAGCAAACUUUUUACCACAGUCACACCUGUACCUAUCUAUAUAUAUAAAACUGUAGUUGUGUGAGUGUCUGUCCCCUUCAAUUUAGAUUCCUAACUACUCCCACAUUUUGCGGUGCAGUUUAACCAAAUUCGGGUAUCCUAUAGUCGUGAUUCAUAUCGAGCCCGUCUGAGUAUUAGCGCGCGUCUACGAUGAGUCUACGAUUUUAAAAAUAAUUUAACAUCAUUUUUUAUUCCAUUUUAAUGCAUAAUUUUUCGUGUGUCGAUGGCGGCGGAGUUGGCGUCCACGCUCACAGCUGCACCUGUUUGCUUCUCCCCCCUCUUCCCUCCCUCGUGAAGCUGUGGGGAAGGGAGUGUAAAGAAAUCAACGUCGUAAAGCGUUGUCAAGGAGACCAGCGUUCUUUUAGAACAACGACUUCAUGGCUUGAAGACACCAAAACAGAAAUGGCUAAGAAAGCCCGAAUUGGCAUCUAUAAGGGAAGUAACUCUCUAGAAAUGCUUAUAUAGUUAUUUCCCUUACAAACCCGAGCAACGCCGGGCGAUACUGCUAGUAAUAUAUAAAUUUAUCCAUACUAUUUAAUCCUCUACACCAUUAUGAUAUACACUUGUUUCGGCAAUGUAGUGAAAACAUUGUUCAGUUAUUUAUUUAUAUUUACAGUUAAUCUGUAUAGAAAUUUGCUAAAACUUCCACUGUUGUAUCUCUACUUUCUUGCAUAUCUUCUAUAUCUUAUACCAUUUUUUUCCCCCUCUUCCCCUUUUUUUCCCCCUUUUUUCAUUUCUCUUUUUUUUUUGUUCCUUUUCCUUUUCUUUUUUUUUAUUUUUCUUUUUUCUUUUAUUUAUUUAUUUUUUUGUUCUUUUCUUCCCUUUUACGAUCCAUCUUGAUCGAAAAAUAACUUGUCCCAUCUGUGUGCAGCCCUGUGUGGCCAAUAAAGAAACUUAUGUCUUAUACCAUUUUUUCCCCCUCUUCCCCUUUUUUUCCCCUUUUUUCUCCUUUUUUCAUUUCUCUUUUUUUUUUGUUGUUCCUUUUCCUUUUUUUUUUAUUUUUUAUUUUUUUUUUGUUCUUUUCUUCCCUUUUACGAUCCCUCUUGAUCGAAAACCUACGCCACCCCCUUUUUGUUUUUUUUUUGUUUCUUUUGUUUUUUGUUUUUUCAUCCCCCCAAAAGAAAAGCUCUACCUUGUAACUUGUCCCAUCUGUGUGCAGCCCUGUGUGGCCAAUAAAGAAACUUAUGUCUUAUACUAUAUUUUUUCUUUAUUAUUUCAGAAUAAAAGAUGACACUGGCAAAGAACGGUUUUCAUCAGAAAUAUCAUCAGUGUUUAUAAUCUGUUAAAGAUUAAAGGAAGAUAUUAUAUGAAAUGGAUACAAUCCUGUUUAUAUAAAUCUAUAGUGAAAUAAGAGGAAUAUUUUUAUUUCUUUUCUGCACUGUGAAUCAGAAUAGAACUGUAUGGAACGUAGGUGAUUUUGCAUUCUAAGUAUCCCUUUAGUAUUUAAUGCAGUCGUGCUGUGGGCACGUAACAAACACCGUCCGAUCGUGGCCAUUCGCCAGCCUCGUCUGGCACCUGUGUCAGUGGCACAUAAAAAACACCAUCCGAGCGU